CUUGUUUACAGUUCGGAAAAUUUGCCACGGGAUUUGCGCGCGGGAUUUGGCACGGGAAUCAACUCGGAAAAUUUUUCCGCCGACUGUUCUCCUCAUCUCUCCACAAAUAACUUUGACGUUAGUUUACGUGUUUACAACGGUCCCAGAGAAAAUAUUUUGUCUGAUCGGUUCAUUCGUUUCGUUUUUUGGUGCUGCAAUUGAUCAUUCGUUGUUUAAUAAUUAUUCAAAAGUGUACCAUCCGAUGUCUGCAUGUUGCUGCUGCUCAAACCACCCAAACCCGUACCUGACCGUCCGGUGUUCGUGGUUCCAGGAACUAUGGUACAUGCUGAAAAAUUCGAUUGAAAGCGGUCGCCAAAAAUGCUUCGACCCAGGAGGACAAGUGAAAGUAACGGCACAGCUCGGCUUGUGCUCAGCGGAUCGCUGAAAUUAAUAAACAUCGAUCAACUCUGGGUCAUCGAGCAGCGGCGCACCAAGGCUUCGCUUCAAAAGGCUAGUUUUUAUGUCCCGACGACGCAAUUGAACUACAAUACGCCCAUUGGGAGUCCGCAUCUAUACUACUACUUCGCUGUCGGAUCCACCCUUGGAGCACGGACAACAGCGAACAUUGGAUGACGCAAGCAGGACCAUUGCUCGGAGUCUACACGGCGUCAGAACCACGGAAGGUGUUAGUUAUCUAACAACACCUAUUUCAAUUUCUAAAGCAGUCCGCAACAAAAUUUCUAGAGGAAUUGCUCUAAUUUAAACUGGAGAAGCAGUCACCAAAAUUCUGCAGAUGCCUUCCAAUUACUUCCAUCGGUUUCGGAUCCAAGAUCGGCGCCGGCAAACUAAUUACGUAACGGGUAGCACAGAUGGCAAACGGGAACAUGACGACGGUGCACCAUGAUUCGAGCGAGCUCGAACGAUGGCUGUCAUUUCGUUCCAACGGUAUCCCGAAACGCAUGGAAUCCAAUUUCACCGGUGCGUGUGACACCGGCUUUCGACCGACUCGAUUGACGACUUUAUCGAAUUGGUUAAAUACCCCUCCAAACUGCGGACUAUUUUGCACAAAAUGAUAUCCGCUGACAAAGCUGUUGAAAAAAGUUGACUGAAAAAUAUUGACGAGUUUCAACGGGACAAGGCCUGCACAACAUGGACACGGGAUGUUCCCCAGCGGAACUAGCUUUUUAUAUGGAACUAGCAUAGCGACAAAACGAUCCAGAUGCUGUAUAAAUCGACUUGUGAUGAGUGACAGCGCAGCCGUCUUCCAGUGCUAUAAAAAAUUUUCACUCCCGCACUAAAUACACCAUGUACAGGACCCUGAUAGGACUGGUGGUAUUCUACGGGCAUGAGAUCUGGACUAUGCUCAAGGAGAAUAGCAAGUGUUCGAGCGUCGGGUGCUAAGAACAACCGUUGGCGGUGUGCAGGAGAACUAUAUGAGGCGGCGAAAGCUGGAAUGAAACGAUGGACAGGGCAUGUCGUGAGAAUGCCGGACAACAAGCCUACAAAGCUGGUGUUCGCAAGAGAUCCGUAUAGUACAAGGAGACCUGGAGGGUAGCAUGCAAGAUCAGGUGCAGAACGAUCUGGCAAAUGUAGAACGCAAAGGAAUUGUUGAAUCAGUUUUAUUGUAAAAUGUAAUACUAAAUAAAUAAAUGAAUGCUAUGAAAAAUGACCAAAAGUAGUGUAACUCCUCAACGAAAAAAAAGGGAAAAAUCUCAGAAUAAACUUCUCAGGAGGAAAAUCUAGCGAAAAAUGCCCAGGGCUCCUAAAGAUAAAUCCCUAGGAAGAACUUCUUGAAAAACUAGAACUUCUCAGAAUCCUCAGAAAGAGCAUUCAGGAGGAUCCUAUGGAAAAAUCACAUCCCAGCAGGUACUCCAGCAAAAAUCCCCAGGAAUAACUAUUUAAAAAAAAAAAUAUAAAGUUAAAAUACUUAGAGGAAAAUAGGAAGAAAAAAUGGACGAAUAUUGGCAAGCAGAACUCCUGGUAGAUCUCCAGGCAGAACCCCUAGAAGAAUAAUUCCUACUGGUAACUUUUGGAUUGAAUUCCUAAGGAAAAGCUUUCGGAUAAAAAACUAACGAUGGUACUUUUGGAAAUAAAAUCAUUAGGAAGAACUAAAAAAAAUCCCACAAAUCCCGAAAAAACAGUACACUCCUGAUCGUAGAAAAUAUCGACAAGGAACUAUACUGCCGCCACUCGCAUAACAGUCCCAUCUUUGCUGGGUUUCCUAUUCAUAUGGGACUGUUUUGCGAGUGGGGGCAGUAUAGUUCUAGUAUUUCUUACAAAUAGACGAAAUUCUUAGAAAAAGGGGAAAACGCAAUUUAAUUGGAUGUCCAAAAACAGCGAUUGAAUCAUUCUUAGCGCACUUCAACUUUGUAGCGACUCAAACAGAUCAAAAUACGCGCGGAAACAAUUCGAAGUGAAUUCUUUCCGGCGGGAAAAAUGUGUGUAGAGAUUUUUUCCCUUUCCGCGCCAAAAUCCGUGACCGGGUUUACACUUCGGAAAAAUUGUCAUCCAUGUUUUCCGUCGCGGGAUUUGAAAUUCCGCGCUCCAUUUAAAAUACACAGGGGACCAAAUCCCGUGACACGUUUUCCGAACUGUAAACCAGCCUUAAC